AGCUCCAAUAGCGUAUAUUAAAGUUGUUGCAGUUAAAAAGCUCGUAGUUGGAUUUGUGGUGUGUCCUGUCGGUCCGUGGGCUCAGCCUGCGUGUCUGUACGGGUCUGCCUUUCAUGGGACUGUUGGCUUUGUGGCAUUAGGUUGUCGCAUUGUUGAUGCCCAUCUUUUACUGUGAAAAAAUUAGAGUGUUCAAAGCAGGCUUAUGCUGUUGAAUAUAUUAGCAUGGAAUAAUGAUAUAGGACCUUGGUACUAUUUUGUUGGUUUGCGCACUGAGGUAAUGAUUAAUAGGGACAGUUGGGGGUAUUCGUAUUCCAUUGUCAGAGGUGAAAUUCUUGGAUUUUUGGAAGACGAACUACUGCGAAAGCAUUUACCAAGGAUGUUUUCAUUAAUCAAGAACGAA
rnacentral:rRNA from 1 species